UCGGCAACUUCGACCUCAUCGGCGCGCGGCCCGCUCAUGCACUUCCGCUUUGGCUCCUUCCCCGUCAUCGUCGGCUCCUCGGUCGACAUGGCCAGGUUCUUCCUCAAGACCCAGGCCAUCCUCUACGUCGACCGCCCCAAGACAGCCUCCGGCAAGCACACAACCUACAACUACCGUGAAAUGACGUGGUCCCCUUAUGGAGCCUACUGGCGCCAGGCGCGCCGCAUCUGCCUCGCCCAACUCUUCAGCACACGCCGCCUCGCAUCGAUGGAGCACAUCCGUGCUGACGAGGUGGGCGCGCUGGUGCGGGGCAUAUAUGCGGCCUCUGGGCCCAUGCGUGUUGUGCAUCUCGGUAGGGACCACAUGUGGACGCUGAGCUUGAACGUGAUCACGCGGAUGGUGAUGGGGAAGCGGUUGUUCGCCGACGGCGCGUCCGAGGGGCCGAUGCCGUCGAUGGAGGUGUUCCGGCGGAUGUUGGAUGAGCUCUUCCUGCUCAAUGGCGUCCUCAACAUCGGCGACUGGAUACCGUGGCUGGACUGGAUGGACCUCCAGGGUUACGUGCGGCGGAUGAAAAAGGUGGGGAAGGUGUUCGACACAUUCAUGGAACACAUACUCGAUGAGCACAUCCUAGGCAAGCAGCGCCGCCAUGAAGGCGAGGCGGCGAGGGACAUGGUGGACGUGCUCAUGGACAUCGCCGAUGACCCCACCCUCGAGGUCAAGUACGGCCGUAUCGGUGUGAAGGCCUUCACGCAGGACCUCAUCGCAGGGGGCACCGAGAGCUCCGCCGUCACCGUGGAAUGGGCCAUGUCAGAGCUCAUGAGGAGGCCCGCCGCCUUCGAUGCAGCCACCGAGGAGCUCGACCGCGUUGUUGGUCGUGCCCGUUGGGUGACUGAGAAGGACAUGCCGAACCUGCCCUACAUUGAGGCAAUCGUGAAAGAAUCCAUGCGCAUGCACCCCAUCGUGCCGCUCCUCAUCCCGCGCAUGGCCCGAGAGGACGCCACCAUUGAUGGCUACGACGUCCCCAAGGGUGCGCGUGUGCUCAUCAACGUGUGGGCCAUGGGCCGGGACCCGGAGCUGUGGGACGCACCGGAGGACUUCAUGCCGGAGAGGUUCCUGGGGAGCAAGAUGGGUGUGAUAGGGCAGGAUCUUGAGCUGCUGCCGUUUGGGACCGGUAGACGGAUGUGCCCCGGCUACAACCUCGGGCUGAAGGUGGUGCACCUGAGCUUGGCGAACCUGCUGCACGGGUUCACCUGGAGACUGCCGGAGGGGGUGAGGAAAGAUGAUCUGAGCACUUCUGCCCCGGCUCACUCCUCUUUCCAGCAAUCUAUGUGGGAAGCACUCGUUCAAAGUAAGUUGAGAUUCAAAGCGUUCCCGUAA
rnacentral:rRNA from 1 species